CUUUUCUUCUUGCCAAACUUUGUGUGGUUUGAAGUUUAGAAGGUGGUGAGGGUUCGGCUCAUGACAAGGAGUAGGCGGAGAAGUAACACUCGUGUGGGCUAGCCUAAGUUUGGGUUUUGAGGCCAAAUAUGAAAGAAAGA